AGACAAAUAGCUGGGAACUUAUGGAAAAACGCAUUACGCUGGAGCUAAUUCCAAAGAAAUGUUGGUUGUGGGGGGAUCCAACAAUCGCUGAAGGGAGCUGGGAGUAUAGGUGUGUGUACAGCAUGCUGCCUCUUCUCAAGCCCAUCUCCCUGCUUCAGCGCUCACGGCUCCAUUUAAUGGCUCCCAAAUACAUUCUGGCCUUCCUGCAGAUAGAAGGCAGCCAAGCAUAACGCUGCUUAAUAACUGCAUCCUGAACAAAUGGAAAGGAGUGGGACUCUUCUUUUCCUAGAUGGCAGGGAGAUUUGUAAGAAGAUGCAUCAUCUCCAAUUCUUACAUCUGUCAAAUGUUCAAAUGAUUUGAAUAAAUGUCACCUGAAUUUCAUGCAGUUAUUUGUUAAUUUUGUAAAUAGCAUUUUAGUAGAAUUUUCACAUUCAAACAAAUUGCAUUUUAGGAUAAUUGUAGGGAAAAGUGUAUAAACACCACAUCUCUGUGUGUUAUUUUUGUGUUAUUUUUUUUAAACACAUCUUUGUGUGGAAAUGUUUAACACGCAGGAUGUGAUGAAUGUACUAUCACACGGACUGUGCUAAAAGCAACACAAAAUGUGUUGUCCUUAACUAGACACACCGGUGUGUUAAAAUGUGGGUUAAAAAUUAACACGUGUUAAAUAUAUCCACACAAAGAUGUUUUAACAAUAACACACAACAUGUUUUAAAUGUACUAACACACUGUGUUAAAACCAACACAAAAUGUAUUGUCCUUAAG
ensembl:lncRNA